rnacentral:tRNA from 1 species
GAUUCAGAAUGGUGCAGUGGGUAGCACAUCAGCCCUCCAAGCUGAAAGUCGCAGGUUCGAACCCUGCUUCUGAAUCCCCA